CUUUUUGCGGUCUGGGCUUGCUGUACAUUACUCAUAGCCGGAAGCCCUUACCCCAAAAAGCAU
rnacentral:pre_miRNA from 1 species